rnacentral:rRNA from 1 species
AAAGAUUAAGCCAUGCAUGUAUAAGUAUCGUUAUAUUAUCGUGAAACCGCGAACGGCUCAUUAUAACAGCUAUAAUUUACUUGAUCUUGACUUCCUACUUGGAUAACUGUGGUAAUUCUAGAGCUAAUACAUGCACCAAAGCUCCGACCUUACGGGAAGAGCGCAUUUACUCGAACAAAACCAAGCGGCUUCGGCCGUUCGCAGUUGACUCAGAAUAACUAAGCUGAUCGCAUGGUCUUGAACCGGCGACGUGUCUUUCAAGUAUCUGCCUUAUCAACUUUCGAUGGUAGUGUAUCUGACCACCAUGGUGGUGACGGGUAACGGAGGAUAAGGGUUCGACUCCGGAGAAGGGGCCUGAGAAAUGGCCACUACGUCUAAGGAUGGCAGCAGGCGCGCAAAUUACCCACUCUCAGAAUGAGGAGGUAGUGACGAGAAAUAACGAGACCGUUCUCUACGAGGCCGGUCAUCGGAAUGGGUACAAUUUAAACCCUUUAACGAGUAUCUAUGAGAGGGCAAGUCUGGUGCCAGCAGCCGCGGUAAUUCCAGCUCUCAAAAUGCAUAGAAUUAUUGCUGCGGUUAAAAAGCUCGUAGUUGGAUCUGUGCCGUUGGACCCGGUCCACCUUAACGGGUGCGCACUGGGCUCCCCGGCUUUCUGCCGGUUUUCCUGUCGUGGCCUUAACUGGUUGCGGCGGGUGGCUGGCGAUUUUACUUUGAACAAGUCAGAGUGCUUAAAACAGGCGUUUCGCUUGAAUGUUCGUGCACGGAAUAAUAAAAAAGGAUUUCGGUUCUAUUUUAUUGGUUUUAUAGACUGAGAUAAUGGUUAACAGAGACAAACGGGGGCAUUCGUAUUGCUGCGUGAGAGGUGAAAUUCUUGGACCGCAACAAGACGAACUACAGCGAAAGCAUUUUGCCAGAA